rnacentral:rRNA from 1 species
AGAGUUUGAUCCUGGCUCAGAAUGAACGUUGGCGGCGUGGAUUAGGCAUGCAAGUCGAGCGGCAGCAGGCCCGCAAGGGCGCUGGCGAGCGGCGAAAGGGAGAGUAACACGCGGGUACCUACCCUCAGGUCCGGGAUAGCUGCGGGAAACUGCAAUUAAUACCGGAUAACGUCUCCGGACCAAAGGUGUGAUUCCACCUGAGGAGGGGCCCACGUCCUAUCAGCUUGUUGGUGAGGUAAUGGCUCACCAAGGCUACGACGGGUACGGGGUGUGAGAGCAUGCCCCCGCUCACUGGGACUGAGACACUGCCCAGACACCUACGGGUGGCUGCAGUCGAGGAUCUUCCGCAAUGGGCGAAAGCCUGACGGAGCGACGCCGCGUGCGGGAUGAAGGCCUUCGGGUUGUAAACCGCUGUCAGAGGGGAACAAGUCCAUGGGGGUUCUCCCUUAUGGUUGAGUGAUCCUCAGAGGAAGCGCAGGCUAAGUCCGUGCCAGCAGCCGCGGUAACACGGACUGCGCGAACGUUAUUCGGAAUUACUGGGCUUAAAGCGUCCGUAGGCGGCUCUGCAGGUGGGGUGUGAAAUCCCUCGGCUCAACCGAGGAAUUGCGCUCCAAACCACAGGGCUUGAGGGAGAUAGAGGUGAGCGGAACUCACGGUGGAGCGGUGAAAUGCGUUGAUAUCGUGAGGAACACCGGUGGCGAAGGCGGCUCACUGGGUCUCUUCUGACGCUGAGGGACGAAAGCUAGGGGGAGCGAACGGGAUUAGAUACCCCGGUAGUCCUAGCUGUAAACGAUGAGCAC